AGGCAGCAGUGGGGAAUAUUGGACAAUGGGGGAAACCCUGAUCCAGCAAUGCCGCGUGUGUGAAGAAGGCCUGCGGGUUGUAAAGCACUUUCGGCGGGAAAGAAAAGUCGCGCGUUAAUACCGUGCGGCCUUGACGUUACCCGCAAAAGAAGCACCGGCUAACUCCGUGCCAGCA
rnacentral:rRNA from 1 species